rnacentral:rRNA from 1 species
UGAGAAUAGAAAACUAACAAGGAUUCCCCUAGUAACGGCGAGUGAAGCGGGAAGAGCUCAAAUUUGAAAUCUGGUAGCCUUCGGUUGCCCGAGUUGUAAUCUAGAGAAGUGUUUUCCGUGCCGGCCCAUGUACAAGUCCCUUGGAACAGGGCGUCAUAGAGGGUGAGAAUCCCGUCCUUGACAUGGACCCCCGGUGCUUUGUGAUACACUUUCAACGAGUCGAGUUGUUUGGGAAUGCAGCUCAAAAUGGGUGGUGAAUUCCAUCUAAAGCUAAAUAUUGGCGAGAGACCGAUAGCGAACAAGUACCGUGAGGGAAAGAUGAAAAGCACUUUGGAAAGAGAGUUAAACAGUACGUGAAAUUGUUGAAAGGGAAACGAUUGAAGUCAGUCAUGCUCUUAGGAUUCAGCCGUUCUGCGGUGUAUUUCCUUUGAGUGGGGUCAACAUCAGUUUUGAUCGAUGGAUAAAGGCACGAGGAAGGUAGCACUCUCGGGUGAACUUAUAGCCUCGCGUCAUAUACAUUGAUUGGGACUGAGGAACGCAGCAUGCCUUUAUGGCCGGGAUUCGUCCACGUACAUGCUUAGGAUGUUGACAUAAUGCUUUAAACGACCGCA